GCGACAGAUACCGCGCGGCUCCUCCACUCUCUGGCAAGUCGCGACAACGGACGCCGCUCCACUCCCCGCAACAGACUCUACAUGGCAGGCCAUGGUGAUGGCCACGAUUCCACUCCACUACUCUUCAUAACAAACUCCUCCUGGCCCUGAAUGGCCCGCUGCCAGACGGUUACAAAUAUCACUAUCAGUCUGUUGCACCCUCCGCCUAUAAAAGGGAGACCCUAGAUACAUUAUUCUCUAAG
rnacentral:lncRNA from 1 species